AGGGUUUGAUUCUGGCUCAGAACGUACGCUGGCGGCACGCCUAACACAUGCAAGUCGAACGAAGUAGCAAUACUUAGUGGCAGACGGGUGAGUAACAUGUGGGUAUCUGCCCUUUGGCCUGGAAUAACACGAGGAAACUUGUGCUAAUACUGGAUAAGUCUUUACGGAGAAAGCUUUAUGCACCAAUGGAUGAGCCCGCACUUGAUUAGUUUGUUGGUAGGGUAAUGGCCUACCAAGACUGUGAUCAAUAGCUGAUUUGAGAGGAUGAUCAGCCACAUUGGGACUGAGACACGGCCCAAACUCCUACGGGAGGCAGCAGUGGGGAAUCUUGCACAAUGGAGGAAACUCUGAUGCAGCGGUGCCGCGUGAGUGAAGAAGGCCUUUGGGUUGUAAAGCUCUUUCGUCGGGGAAGAAAAUGACUGUACCCGAAUAAGAAGUCC
rnacentral:rRNA from 1 species